UACAGAGGGUGCGAGCGUUAAUCGGAGUUACUGGGCGUAAAGGGCGCGUAGGCGGAUGUUUAAGUGAAAUGUGAAAUCCCUGGGCUUAACCUAGGAACUGCAUCUCAUACUGGAUAUCUGGAGUAUUGUAGAGGGUAGUGGAAUUUCCGGUGUAGCGGUGAAAUGCGUAGAGAUCGGAAGGAACACCAGUGGCGAAGGCGGCUACCUGGACAAAUACUGACGCUGAGGCGCGAAAGCGUGGGGAGCAAACAGG
rnacentral:rRNA from 1 species